GCCGGGCAGGGUGGUGCAUACCUGUAAUCCCAGUGGCUCAGGAGGCUGAGGCAGGAGAAUUGUGAAUUCAAAGCCAGCUUCAGCAACUCAUCGAGGCCCUGUCUCAA
rnacentral:sRNA from 1 species